rnacentral:rRNA from 1 species
CCUACGGGUGGCUGCAGUGGGGAAUAUUGCACAAUGGGCGAAAGCCUGAUGCAGCAACGCCGCGUGAGCGAUGAAGGCCUUCGGGUCGUAAAGCCCUGUCCUCAAGGAAGCUAAUGACGGUACUUGAGGAGGAAGCCCCGGCUAACUACGUGCCAGCAGCCGCGGUAAUACGUAGGGGGCUAGCGGUAUCCGGAAUUACUGGGCGAAAAGGGUGCGUAGGUGGGUUUUGAAGUCGGAGGUGAAAGGCUAGGGCUCAACCGUAGUAAGCCUUUGAAACUGGGAAACUUGAGUGCGGGAGAGGGGUGUGGAAUGCCUGGUGUAGCGGUGAAAUGCGUAGAUAUCAGGAGGAACACCAGUUGCGAAGGCGGCACUCUGGACUGUAACUGACGCUGAGGCACGAAAGCGUGGGUAGCAAACAGGAUUAGAUACCCCAGUAGUC